GAACAUCAUAUUCUUCUAUUGUUGCUUUCGCAAAUUCUUCUCUCCUUCCUUUCUUUCUUUCUAGCUUUCUUUGCUCCUGCUGCUCCUCCGCCUCGGCGUCGUCCCUCCGUGCUCUCCCUCCUCCUCGGCUUCCCGACAUCUCCCAUAAUUCUUUCUAGCGCCAUAUUGUUUUCGAGUCCUUGACUGUUUGGUUGUUGUUCUGUUCAGUAAAGUUUUCACUUCAAGAGGGUCAGUACAUAUCCACAUGGUGGAUUUGUUCCCGCUUCGUAUGAUUUCGGGUUAUUAAAACUGCUGCCCCCUGACUAGAUUUCCGGGAAAGAUUCCCCGUGGGGGUUGUGUGUUUCGGUUUCCGGUUAAAAUAGGUAGAUUAGUUAUUCUUGUUACCAAUUAGCAACAGCCCACCUCUCUCUCGUUCUGGGGUUUUAGUGGGCGGUUUAACGGGGGGGGUGUGAAAUCACACUCUGCUGGACUUGGAAAUCAAGAAUUCAGGGUCCUUCUGAUCCAUUUGUCUUUCUGGGUUGGUGAGUUCGGGGUCUUUCUUUUGGGUUUGGUGCUUCAUCUGGCAUUUCUUGAGUUGUGGGUGUGUGUUCUUGGCUAGAGGUAAGAGCGCCCUCCCCCUCCCCCACCUUCCUUCCUUGUUCCUUUUUUUUUUUUUUUUAACAAAUCUGGUCACUCUUCUGAUUUGGCCCUUUUAAGUACUUGUUGCUGAGCUGGGUUGAGUCCCUGUUGUGGAUGAGUUUGCUCCAUGUACUCGGUUUCGGUCUGAAGGUGGGGCAUCUACUAUGGGUGCUAUGUUACUGGGUCGUGUCCUUGAUUUCCAAGAAUUGGUUGGUUUUUGGUGGUGAAAUGACCAAGGCUGGUUUUCUUGGCGAUGGAGGCAAAAUGUCACUGAAUUGGUUGGAGAAGGUAUUGGGGAAUGCUUACAAGAUCCACCACAGCCCUAACAACCAGCAAGCUGGGUCUAAGAGAUUCAGGAAGACUUGGUGGAGGAAGUUUUUGUUCAUAUGGGUCAUCGGUUGGAUCAUCUUUUCGCUCUGGAUCUUCUGGUACUUGAGCUCGCAGGCCGCAGAGAAGAGGAGAGAGACCCUCGGUAGCAUGUGCGAUGAAAGAGCUAGAAUGUUGCAGGACCAGUUUAAUGUCAGCAUGAACCAUGUCCAAGCCAUGUCCAUUCUGAUCUCCACUUUCCACCAUGGCAAGGACCCUUCCGCUAUUGAUCAGAGGACCUUCGCAAGGUACACGGAAAGAACUGCCUUUGAGAGGCCUCUCACAAGUUUUGUCGCCUAUGCCGUUAGAGUGCUCCAUUCUGACAGGGAAGAGUUUGAGAAGGCACAAGGUUGGAAAAUUAAGAGGAUGGAUACCCUUGAAGAAACCCCAGUUCCCAAGGAUGACUAUGAUCUUGAAGGACAGGAACCGUCCCCAGUUCAGGAAGAAUACGCGCCAGUCAUCUUUGCACAAGAUACCAUUUCACAUGUUGUUUCUCUUGAUAUGCUUUCUGGAAAGGAAGACCGUGAAAAUGUUUUACGUGCAAGAUCUUCUGGAAAAGGGGUCUUGACGGCUCCAUUUAGGUUAAUUAAAACAAGCAGCCUUGGAGUUAUAUUGACCUUUGCCGUAUACAAUAAGGAUCUGCCACCAAAUGCCACUCCUGAGGAGAGAAUUGAGGCAACUGACGGGUACCUUGGCGGGGUCUUCCAUAUUGAAUCACUAGUAGAGAAGUUGCUUCAACAACUUGCGAGCAAGCAGACAAUUGUUGUGAAUGUAUAUGACACCACCAAUUGGUCACAUCCAAUCAGCAUGUAUGGUUCAGAUGUAUCGGAAGAUUUUCUAGCGCAUGUCAGUACUCUCAAUUUUGGAGAUCCGUUCAGGAAGCAUGAGAUGCGCUGCAGAUUCAAACAAAAAGCACCAUGGCCAUGGCUUGCAAUAACUACGUCAAUUGGCAUUCUUGUGAUUGCGUUGCUUGUUGGGCAUAUUUUCCACGCAACAGUGAAUCGAAUUGCGAAAGUUGAAGAUGACUACCAUAAGAUGAUGGAACUUAAAAAGCGAGCGGAGGCAGCUGAUGUGGCAAAGUCGCAGUUUCUUGCUACUGUUUCGCAUGAGAUCAGAACCCCGAUGAAUGGAGUUCUAGGAAUGUUGCAUAUGUUGAUGGACACAGAUCUAGAUGAAACUCAACAAGAUUAUGUUAGAACUGCACAGGACAGUGGAAAAGCUUUGGUUUCACUUAUAAAUGAGGUCUUGGACCAAGCGAAGAUCGAAUCUGGUAAGAUUGAGAUUGAGGCUGUGCAGUUUGAUCUAAGGGCCAUAUUGGAUGAUGUCUUGUCCCUCUUCUCCGGGAAAUCUCAAGAAAAAGGAGUGGAGCUAGCAGCUUACAUUUCUGAACAUGUUCCGGAGAUGUUGAUUGGUGAUCCGGGGAGAUUUCGGCAGAUCAUCACAAAUCUUAUGGGCAACUCAAUUAAAUUCACAGAGAAAGGGCAUAUCCUGGUCACAGUCCAUCUUGUUCAUGAGGUGAUAAACUCAAUUGAUGCUGAGAUGGAAGCAGCGACAGGGAGUACGCUGAGCGGCUUCCCAGUACCAGACAGACGACUGAGCUGGGAAAAAUUUAGGACAUUCAGCCAGGAAGGGCCUGUGUCUCCAGUGCCAACAUCCUUCUCUAACCCAAUCAAUCUCAUUAUUUCAGUGGAGGAUACAGGGAUAGGUAUUCCUACAGAGGCUCAAUCCCGCGUUUUCACUCCUUUCAUGCAAGUGCGCCCAUCAAUUUCUCGAACACAUGGAGGCACGGGUAUUGGGCUAAGCAUAAGCAAAUGUCUGGUUGGCCUCAUGAAUGGGGAGAUUGGAUUCGUAAGCAUACCCCAGGUAGGAUCCACCUUUACCUUUACUGCAGUUUUCGAUGAUGGCUGUUCUAUCUCAAAAGAGUGCAAGGGCCAGCAAGUGAAAGGACGAGGUGACUCUGGCGCCUCCUCAGAGUUUCAUGGUAUGAAAGCACUGGUAGUUGACACAAGAUCUGUCCGUGCCAACGUAUCAAAGUAUCAUAUCCAGAGGCUUGGUAUUCAUGUUGAAGUAGUUGCAGACUUGAACCAGUGCCUCCACGCCAUUCAAAGUGGGAAUGCCAGAACAGAUAUCGUGCUCUUGGAAUGGGAAAUUUGGCACAAGGACUCUGGUUUGUCGGCUAUCUUUUUGGAUAAAUUGAGGGACAUGAAGCCAGGGGUAUCUCCAUGGCUGUUUCUUCUGUCUAAUUCUAUCGGCUCUAGUAGGAUGAGUGGUGCAACUUCAGAUGCUACUGGUCCAUUCGUGAUCAUGAAGCCUCUAAGGGCCGGUAUGCUGGCUGCGUCUUUACAGCGAGUCAUGGGAGUCGGAAACCGAAUAAGUUGCUCUAAUGGGGAGUCUCCAAGUCUGUAUCUCCGCAACCUUCUCCGCGGCAGAAAAAUCCUAAUCGUGGAUGACAACAAAGUAAACCUCAGAGUGGCUGAGGGAGCUUUGAAGAAAUAUGGAGCUGAUGUGGUUUGUACAGAAAGCGGGGAAAAAGCAAUUGCUUUGCUUAGACCACUGCAUAAUUUUGAUGCCUGCUUCAUGGAUAUCCAGAUGCCAGGAAUGGAUGGAUUUGAAGCUACAAGGAGAAUUCGACUGAUGGAAAAAACUCUGAGCGAGGAAUUCCCACUUGGAGAGUCAUCCUCAGAGCCACGUCAAAAUAUCUCGAAUUUCCACCUACCAAUCUUGGCCAUGACUGCAGAUGUGAUUCACGCUACUCAUGAAGAAUGCACAAAGUAUGGAAUGGAUGGAUAUGUUUCAAAGCCAUUUGAAGCGGAACAACUUUUUAGGGAAGUUUCGCGCUUUUUCCCAGUCAUCAUUGAAUCGAAACUUGUAGAGAGGCCACCAUAGAAGGCUACUUGUUUUGGUGAGCAGAAAUCUUGGUUGUUGAGGCACUAUGGCAGCCUUCCGGUGAACUUUGAAAUUCUUUAACAAGAGUGCGUCUUGUCACGGGAGUGUGUAUAUAAAGAAGCUAAGGUCACCCGCUGGAGUUGAGUUUUCAUCGAUUUCCCUACGAGUGGCGUCUUGUUUCAAAACCACUUCAAUUAUUUAUCUGUACAGCUGAUCUAAACCGUUUGCAAGACUACGGUUGGUAAUUAGGCAAUCUGAAGUUCGCCAUUGAACUCCGGAUCCAUGGCUGCUUGGAAACGGUGCAAGAAUUUCUCUGACAUAGAUGUAUAUCUGUAGACUAGCACAUUGUGUACAUGCAUUUAGCCUUAGAGAUCGUAGCCAGAAGGUUUGGUUAGACCGCAUUCCCUUAGAGACAGAGCAUUCCAUGUACAUUAGUCGAAUAAAGAACAUCAGUAUUCACAUUCAUGUUUACCCCCACAAUCAAUUUUGUUUGAAGCAUGUAAAGGGUUGAGGCCAUAACUGAUGUAUAGUACAAUGUCUCUCUUCGUCGGCAUUUUGUCCUUUUAGCUAGUUUGUUGGAACCGAUUCGAUGUAAUCAGAUUGCUUUGUGUGAGCAAGUACACUGUACACAUAAAUCAGAGGCAGAGUUAAAGAAAUUUUUU